rnacentral:rRNA from 1 species
AUUCGGCUUAGAGUUUGAUCCUGGCUCAGGAUGAACGCUGGCGGCGUGCUUAACACAUGCAAGUCGAACGAACGUAGCAAUACGUUAGUGGCGGACGGGUGAGUAACGCGUGAGCAAUCUGCCCAUAUCUGGGGGAUAACAGUUAGAAAUGACUGCUAAUACCGCAUAUGACCACGGAAAGGCAUCUUUCUGGGGUGAAAGAUUUAUCGGAUAUGGAUGAGCUCGCGUCCCAUUAGGCAGUUGGCGGGGUAACGGCCCACCAAACCGACGAUGGGUAGCCGGCCUUAGAGGGUGAUCGGCCACAUUGGAACUGAGACACGGUCCAAACUCCUACGGGAGGCAGCAGUGGGGAAUAUUGGGCAAUGGAGGCAACUCUGACCCAGCAACGCCGCGUGAGUGAUGAAGGUCUUCGGAUUGUAAAACUCUUUAAGUGGGGACGAAGAAAGUGACUGUACCCACAGAAUAAGCCUCGGCUAACUACGUGCCAGCAGCCGCGGUAAUACGUAGGAGGCAAGCGUUAUCCGGAAUGACUGGGCGUAAAGGGUGCGUAGGUGGUUUGGUAAGUUAGUAGCGUAAUUCCGGGGCUCAACUUCGGAACUACUACUAAAACUGCUGGGCUUGAGUGCAGGAGGGGCAUAUGGAAUUCCUAGUGUAGCGGUGGAACGCGUAGAUAUUAGGAAGAACACCAGCGGCGAAGGCGAUAUGCUGGACUGUAACUGACACUGAGGCACGAAAGCGUGGGGAGCAAACAGGAUUAAGCCGAAUU